rnacentral:rRNA from 1 species
GGACGAACGCUGGCGGCGUGCUUAACACAUGCAAGUCGAACGAUGAACCGCUUUCGGGCGGGGAUUAGUGGCGAACGGGUGAGUAACACGUGGGCAAUCUGCCCUGCACUCUGGGACAAGCCCUGGAAACGGGGUCUAAUACCGGAUAUGACUGUCCAUCGCAUGGUGGAUGGUGUAAAGCUCCGGCGGUGCAGGAUGAGCCCGCGGCCUAUCAGCUUGUUGGUGAGGUAGUGGCUCACCAAGGCGACGACGGGUAGCCGGCCUGAGAGGGCGACCGGCCACACUGGGACUGAGACACGGCCCAGACUCCUACGGGAGGCAGCAGUGGGGAAUAUUGCACAAUGGGCGAAAGCCUGAUGCAGCGACGCCGCGUGAGGGAUGACGGCCUUCGGGUUGUAAACCUCUUUCAGCAGGGAAGAAGCGAAAGUGACGGUACCUGCAGAAGAAGCGCCGGCUAACUACGUGCCAGCAGCCGCGGUAAUACGUAGGGCGCAAGCGUUGUCCGGAAUUAUUGGGCGUAAAGAGCUCGUAGGCGGCUUGUCACGUCGGUUGUGAAAGCCCGGGGCUUAACCCCGGGUCUGCAGUCGAUACGGGCAGGCUAGAGU